AGGUGUAAGGGACAUUGGGCUUGAACAUCUGUCAUCUCAUUGACCAUCAUGGUUGAUCUAGAUGGUCUGGCUGUUGAGAGGGAGCAGUGAGCUCACUGCUCCGUGCGUCUCUUCCAAAGCUGUACGAUUGGAUAGAGAUGACCUUCUCCGAUAAUAAAGGACUGUCCUUUGGUUAAGAGUAUAUAAGUAGUCAUGGUCCCUGCUAGAAUCUCCAAAAUGCUCUCAGAAAAUCAAACAUGUUUCUCCAUGGGAGAAGAUGAAGCCCGGCCAGCCACUAGGACAGUCAGCUUGUCUUCACU
rnacentral:snRNA from 1 species